rnacentral:rRNA from 1 species
GACGAACGCUGGCGGCGUGCUUAACACAUGCAAGUCGAACGGAAAGGCCCUGCUUUUGUGGGGUGCUCGAGUGGCGAACGGGUGAGUAACACGUGAGUAACCUGCCCUUGACUUUGGGAUAACUUCAGGAAACUGGGGCUAAUACCGGAUAGGAUCUCCUGCUGCAUGGUGGGGGUUGGAAAGUUUCGGCGGUUGGGGAUGGACUCGCGGCUUAUCAGCUUGUUGGUGGGGUAGUGGCUUACCAAGGCUUUGACGGGUAGCCGGCCUGAGAGGGUGACCGGCCACAUUGGGACUGAGAUACGGCCCAGACUCCUACGGGAGGCAGCAGUGGGGAAUAUUGCACAAUGGGCGGAAGCCUGAUGCAGCAACGCCGCGUGCGGGAUGACGGCCUUCGGGUUGUAAACCGAUUUCGCCUGUGACGAAGCGUGAGUGACGGUAAUGGGUAAAGAAGCACCGGCUAACUACGUG